rnacentral:rRNA from 1 species
CUUUCUUAGAAAUAAUUAAGAAUCAACUCUGCUCAAUGCUUUAGUAAAUAGCCGCAGUAUUUUGACUGUGCAAAGGUAGCAUAAUAAUUAGUCUUGUAAUUCAAGACUGGCAUGAAAGAGAAAACUAAAGGAAUAAUAUUUUUAUUAUAGUUUUCCAAUUUUACUUUUUAGUAAAAAGGCUAAAAUUCCUCUUAAAGACAAGAAGACCCUGUAAAACUUAACAUAUAAUUAUCCUAUAAAUUAAAUAGUAUGUUUAGCUGGGGCGGCAGAGAACCAAACAUUCUUAUAGUAUUAUAAUAAUUAUCAUACCCAGAAAUUCUGAAAAUUAAACAAGCUACUUCAGGGAUAACAGCGUAAUAUAUUUUGAAAGAUCUUAUUGACAAGUAUGUUUGCGACCUCGAUGUUGGAUUGAAUUAUCUUUUUUUCGCAAAAGGAAAAUUAGAAGGUCUGUUCGACCUUUAAAUAUUCCCA